rnacentral:pre_miRNA from 1 species
UGGCUACAAAAUAAUUUAUUUUGUAGCUAUUUUAAGUUACGAUACUUGUUAUGUUAAUUUAUGAGAUUAUAGUAACUUCAUACUAAGUGGUUUAAUAUAACGUUAUGGUAAAUAUCUCUAUGUGUUAUAAUAACCCAACUAUUGUAUAUAUGUAUUGAUAUUAUCGUAAAUUAGUAUAUAAAAUUAUCGUAAAUGAAUAUGGGUACGGAAUAACUUUUGGCGCUC